CCGGGUUGCGGACAGUGUCUGGUGGGUAGUUUGACUGGGGCGGUCUCCUCCUAAAGAGUAACGGAGGAGCACGAAGGUUGGCUAAUCCUGGUCGGACAUCAGGAGGUUAGUGCAAUGGCAUAAGCCAGCUUGACUGCGAGCGUGACGGCGCGAGCAGGUGCGAAAGCAGGUCAUAGUGAUCCGGUGGUUCUGAAUGGAAGGGCCAUCGCUCAACGGAUAAAAGGUACUCCGGGGAUAACAGGCUGAUACCGCCCAAGAGUUCAUAUCGACGGCGGUGUUUGGCACCUCGAUGUCGGCUCAUCACAUCCUGGGGCUGAAGUAGGUCCCAAGGGUAUGGCUGUUCGCCAUUUAAAGUGGUACGCGAGCUGGGUUUAGAACGUCGUGAGACAGUUCGGUCCCUAUCUGCCGUGGGCGCUGGAGAACUGAGGGGGGCUGCUCCUAGUACGAGAGGACCGGAGUGGACGCAUCACUGGUGUUCGGGUUGUCAUGCCAAUGGCACUGCCCGGUAGCUAAAUGCGGAAGAGAUAAGUGCUGAAAGCAUCUAAG
rnacentral:rRNA from 1 species